CAUGCUUAUGAUCAAUUAACAAUUAUACAACCAUUAUGAUUAAAUCAAUCAAUAGAGGCCUGAUACCAUUGUUGAGAAUUGAUAUUAAAACAUAAGUGUCACGACCCACCUUGGGGGCCCGUGACAGGCACUAGGGAAUGGGUAGGCUUAAGGCCACCGAAACCCGUAGUAAGCCUUACCAACCCGCAAAUCCAUAUAUACAAUUAACCAAAAAUAAAGUAGUCAUAAUUGUCUUGCAUAAUACAUCAUCAUACUACCAACAGGAGUCAGAAUAGUUAUAUAAAUUUAAAAAUUUCCUACUGCGGAUUCUCUAGAGUAAAAAAGACAAGUAUAUAAGUACAAGUUAAUUACAAAAGUCCGAAGAAGAAGAAGUCGGACUGUCGAAUGUGCGAUGGCAAAGGUCUUUAACUAUCACCUGAAAAAAAUUACAACUGAGACUGUCAGUCUCGAGAGUGAGAUAAAAUCAAAUAAUCUAGAGACUAUUGCAGUCUCCACAGGAAAUAUUAAUUAUUCGAAUCCAUAUAUCAAACCCUGAACAUAAACAGAAAUCAUGAUGUCAUCAUACCAUAAUGAAAUAAAUAAGUAAAUAAAUAAAUAAAUAAAAAUAUCUUUGUUUCUUUUCUAUUCGGAACGAGUGGCUCGGUAGAACCCUAAACCCCAAAUUCUAGUAGCCUUUCGGCUCUCUUAAUCCAACAGGUCUGGCGCCCAGAGAGCAAGCUCGAUCAGGGUCCUUACCUCCAGCCUGAACACUUGAAUUCCAAAUAAGCCGGCGCCCAGAGAGCAUUGCUCGAUCAGGGACCUUAACUCCGGCAAUCAACUGAACUCAGCCCAGAGAGCAAGCUCGAUCAGGGCAGACAAAUUCAUAAUAACCUUAUAUCCAUGAUCAUUACCGGUGCGCACGCGGUCCUGAUGUAACCCAUCAGGCGGCAUGUUCUACAAGCCACAUUUCCCAAUUCGCAAUCAUCACAUAUAAUAAAUAUUAUUAUCUGAUGAACUCGACCAACACAUAUCGAAAUAAAGAUUAAAGAUUUAAGGUAAAACAGCGUGAAAUUUGUGAGGAAAAAUAAUAACGUUUAUCUUAUUAUAAUAUACUAAUAAUAAUAUUUAUAUUAUUUCAAAUAUUAAUAAUCAAGUGAAAUCAUUUAUUUUACGAUACUAAUAAUCAUAUUAUGCAUGAACUUUCAAAAUAGCAUAUUAAAUCAGACUUAGCAAUAGUGCAAUGAUUAAAUGACUUUAACUCACUGAUUUAACGCGUUCCGCAGUCCGCUCCUACUCCUCGGGUGGAGCUGGCGGGAAGGCUGAAUUAUCUAAUAACAAAAGGACAUACAAUUAAUAGACAUUCGAAAAUUUUUCCUAAGCUUAGACCCUAAGGUCGACUGCCUAAAAUUAAAUUGGACUAGAGGAUUCUGCCGAAAAUUUGACAGAACCUCCCCUAAAUUACGGAUAUUUACCCCCCGUAAAACGGGUCCAGGACCUGCCAAAAACAUAUCAAACAUGCUGGAAAUUAAUAACAGGAGCCGGGCCACAAGAACUGCAUUAAUAUUUUCCCGACUCCAAAACACCACAAUCCAAACAAUUCAAUUUGAUUUAUUUUUAAACUACCCAACACAAGCAAUUAAUAGCCACAAUAACUUUCUAAUAUUAAAACAAAAUUUUUAGAGUCUAAAAUAAAAUUAUACCGAGUUAAAAAAUUAAAAUAUUUCGCGCGUCCAGAAAACACCGGGGUCCGAAAGCCGGUCCUGCUAACAGUGUCGGAAUUCAAAUCCGGAAGCGCCUACGCGAAGCUCAAGUUGCGGGGAGUCCGGAAGUACAAGAGUUUUGGCCGGAAAGUGGCCGGAAGGCGGCGGAUCGGGGCCGGAAAGUCGCUGCUCACGCGACACUUUCCAAGGCUGCCGGCAAGGAUUUCCGACGUAGGAGGGUGGCUUCCGGGGUUUUCGAGGGUGGGGAGUCCGAUCCCGGCGUCUGAUCGCCGAAAACAAGCCGGCAAGAGGCCGAACGGCGAAGGCAGCCCCCCCUUGUUCUU
rnacentral:lncRNA from 1 species